CUUCCGCCGGCGACCGGCGCACGGGUGAGUAACACGUAUGCAACCUGCCCCUGUCAGGGGGACAACCCGCCGAAAGGCGGGCUAAACCCGCGUACAUGCCACCGGAGCAUCCCGGAGGCAGGAAAGGCUUCGGCCGGACAGGGAUGAGCAUGCGGCGCAUUAGGCAGUAGGCGGGGUAACGGCCCACCUAACCGACGAUGCGUAGGGGUUCUGAGAGGAAGGUCCCCCACACUGGUACUGAGACACGGACCAGACUCCUACGGGAGGCAGCAG
rnacentral:rRNA from 1 species